CCUACGGGAGGCAGCAGUCGAGAAUCAUUCACAAUGGGGGAAACCCUGAUGGUGCGACGCCGCGUGGGGGAAUGAAGGUCUUCGGAUUGUAAACCCCUGUCAUGUGGGAGCAAAUUAAAAAGAUAGUACCACAAGAGGAAGAGACGGCUAACUCUGUGCCAGCAGCCGCGGUAAUACAGAGGUCUCAAGCGUUGUUCGGAAUCACUGGGCGUAAAGCGUGCGUAGGCUGUUUCGUAAGUCGUGUGUGAAAGGCGCGGGCUCAACCCGCGGACGGCACAUGAUACUGCGAGACUAGAGUAAGGGAGGGGGAACCGGAAUUCUCGGUGUAGCAGUGAAAUGCGUAGAUAUCGAGAGGAACACUCGUGGCGAAGGCGGGUCCCUGGACAUUAACUGACGCUGAGGCACGAAGGCCAGGGGAGCGAAAGGGAUUAGAUACCCUAGUAGUC
rnacentral:rRNA from 1 species